GACGAACGCUGGCGGCGUGCUUAACACAUGCAAGUCGAACGGAAAGGCCCUGCUUUUGUGGGGUGCUCGAGUGGCGAACGGGUGAGUAACACGUGAGUAACCUGCCCUUGACUUUGGUAUAACUUCAGGAAACUGGGGCUAAUACCGUAUAGGAGCUCCUGCUUCUUGGUGGUGGUUGGAAUGUUUCGGCGGUUGGGGAUGGACUCGCGGCUUAUCAGCUUGUUGGUGGGGUAGUGGCUUACCAAGGCUUUGACGGGUAGCCGGCCUGAGAGGGUGACCGGCCAAAUUGGGACUGAGAUACGGCCCAGACUCCUACGGGAGGCAGCAGUGGGGAAUAUUGCACAAUGGGCGGAAGCCUGAUGCAGCAACGCCGCGUGCGGGAUGAAGGCCUUCGGGUUGUAAACCGCUUUCGCCUGUGACGAAGCGUGAGUGACGGUAAUGGGUAAAGAAGCACCGGCUAACUACGUG
rnacentral:rRNA from 1 species